rnacentral:rRNA from 1 species
GAUGAACGCUAGCGGCAGGCCUAACACAUGCAAGUCGAGGAGCAGCAUAAAAUAAACUUGUUUAUUUGGUGGCGACCGGCGCACGGGUGCGUAACGCGUAUGCAACCUACCUUACACAGGGGGAUAGCCCGGAGAAAUUCGGAUUAACACCCCAUAGCACUAUCGGAUGGCAUCAUUUGAUAUUUAAAGCUUUGGCGGUGUAAGAUGGGCAUGCGUCCUAUUAGCUAGUUGGUGAGGUAACGGCUCACCAAGGCUACGAUAGGUAGGGGGCCUGAGAGGGUGGUCCCCCACACUGGUACUGAGACAUGGACCAGACUCCUACGUGAGGCAGCAGUGAGGAAUAUUGGUCAAUGGGCGCAAGCCUGAACCAGCCAUGCCGCGUGAAGGAUGAAGGUUCUAUGGAUUGUAAACUUCUUUUAUUUGGGAAUAAACCCCUUCACGUGUAGAGGGCUGAAGGUACCAAAUGAAUAAGCACCGGCUAACACCGUGCCAGCCGCCGCAGUAACAC